rnacentral:rRNA from 1 species
AAUAACACACACCUCGCACCGGAGCGCGGAGGCGGUCACGCCGUAAAACGCCCAACUUUCUUAGAGUUGACCUCGGAUCAGGUAGGAAUACCCGCUGAACU